CAGCAGCCGCGGUAAUACGUAGGGUGCGAGCGUUAAUCGGAAUUACUGGGCGCAAAGCGUGCGCAGGCGGUUGUGUAAGACAGGUGUGAAAUCCCCGGGCUUAACCUGGGAACUGCGCUUGUGACUGCACAGCUAGAGUAUGGCAGAGGGGGGUGGAAUUCCACGUGUAGCAGUGAAAUGCGUAGAGAUGUGGAGGAACACCGAUGGCGAAGGCAGCCCCCUGGGCCAACACUGACGCUCAUGCACGAAAGCGUGGGGAGCAAACAGGAUUAGAUACCCGAGUAGUCCCUGUCUCUUUACA
rnacentral:rRNA from 1 species